GCAGCCGUAGCUCAGCUGGAUAGAGCGCUGCCCUCCGAAGGCAGAGGUCCCGAGUUCGAAUCUCGGCGGCUGCACCA
rnacentral:tRNA from 1 species